UAUCCAUAUCUUUGAUAAGCUUUGUCUCCUGAAGAUGGCACCUCCCUAAUGGGGAAUGGUUCCAUCUGCUCCAGCUGUCCCUUUUCCUUUCUCCAGAGAUGGAAGGAGAGGCUAUGCUGAAGACUGAGUUUCCCAGAGGAAGCAGUGGCUCAUGGGCAGCCUCUGCUGCAGAAACCGAGGCGAUGCCAGACUCAGUCACAGGAGAUGUUAUCACUGAAACAGGAAUGUAUGCUCAGGAUCCAGUGCACCUUCCAAGAAUUGUCUGUCCCCAGGACGUGAGCAGGUCCUGCAUGAUAGGCACAGUAGUGACACUGUUCACUGUGCCCCUUGUCCUGGUCUGCUGCUAUUUUGGGAUUCGGAAGCUGUAUCAGAUGAGACGACUGAUCAAACUUAUGUUGGUUUGAUUUGACCAAGAGAAGAGGUUUUCUUUGCUGUGAAUUCAAACAAGGAGCUGAGCUGGAACCUGUUGAAAAGAGUCUCUUCACUUCCUAGCUAAAGCAAACUGCAAGGGUUCUUUUUUUCCUGCUCUGGGCAGGAAUAUAAAAAUAUAUCAGCAGCAAAUACUCCUGUAAUGUAACCGAUGUAAGUUAGGGAUUUUGUCUGUUUGCUCACUAACCCCUGAGUUCCUCAGAGCUGCAGCUCCCUGUUCUCUUUGCAGACAGAGCUCCAUGAGGCUUUCAGUCAGGCUCCACAUUUUGUCAGCCUAGUGUGGAACACAAGUCUGUGAAACACCCCCCUGCUGCCUCAGGCCCCGGAGGCCAAAGGCCUGUCCCAAAGCACUCGGGCAGCUGAAGCAGGAGGCAGAAGAGCUGGGACCAGCUGCCCCAGCACCAGAACCCCAAGGGGCUCUUUUCCCCAGCACUGCUUCAGCCACUGCCCCCUUCUCACCAUCGAGGGAUCGUCAAUGAGCUCAAGAAGGGCCCUGAGUGCCAGGCAACGCCUCUCCCUGCACUCGCUUUGCAGGUACCUUGAUGAGAUCUCUACAACACUGCCACCACAUUCACGUGGGUCCAGGCACCUGAGGACCUGAAAGGCACAGGGCAGUGACAGAGGAGCUGGCUCACAGGAGCCCAGAACUGCACAGGGCUGGGCCCAGACAGCAGCACAGGGCACAGGCACUGUCCCAGGCAGCUGUGGCUACCGAGGGCAGAGAGCUGGGAGGCAGCUCAGCGAGGCAGCACUGGCCAUCAGGCUCACCUCCACAAGAAAUACCAUGGCAGGAAGAUCCCAGCAUAGCUCGUGUGUGCUGAGCACCUGGAGUAGGUGGAGUGCACUACUGAAACACUCCCUUGUAAAAGCAUGAGGCAUCUCCCUAGCAGGCCAAAAAGGAAACCAGGAUCCUGAGCUGAGGGGGGCAAACCUCUCCCAGGGCAGGCUCACAGAGCUCUGCUCUUUCCCCACCAUAAUGCAAGGGGUGCUGGGCCCAUUGGGAGGUGGCUGCUCCUGGGUACCCUCCUCUCCCAACCUUUUCCAGUCUGCUUGGCCAUCCCUU
rnacentral:lncRNA from 1 species